AGCAGCCGCGGUAAUUCCAGCUCCAAUAGCGUAUAUUAAAGUUGUUGCAGUUAAAAAGCUCGUAGUUGAACUUCAGGCCUGGCUGGACGGUCCGCCUUCUGGGUGAGCACUGUCUGUGGUCGGGUCCUCCUUCUGGCGAAGCGGCAUGGCCUUAACCGGCCGUGGCGGGGAACCAGGACUUUUACUGUGAAAAAUUAGAGUGUUCAAAGCAGGCAAUCGCGCUUGAAUACAUUAGCAUGGAAUAAUGGAAUAGGACAGUGGUUCUAUUUGUUGGUUUCUAGGACCGUUGUAAUGAUUAAUAGGGAUAGUUGGGGGCAUUAGUAUUCAAUUGUCAGAGGUGAAAUUCUUGGAUUUAUUGAAGACUAACUACUGCGAAAGCGUUUGCCAAGGAUGUUUUCAUUAAUCAAGAACGAAAGUUAGGGGAUCGAAGACGAUCAGAUACCGUCGUAGUCUUAACCAUAAACUAUGCCGACUAGGAAUCGGGCGAUGUUGACAAAAUGACGCGCUCGGCACC
rnacentral:rRNA from 1 species